rnacentral:rRNA from 1 species
UACAGAGACUGCAAGCGUUAUUCGGAUUCACUGGGCGUAAAGGGUGCGCAGGUGGUUGGGUGUGUCAGAUGUGAAAUCCCGAGGCUCAACCUCGGAACUGCGUCUGAAACUACUCGACUAGAGUAUUGGAGAGGGUAACGGAAUUCACGGUGUAGCAGUGAAAUGCGUAGAUAUCGUGAGGAACACCAGAGGCGAAGGCGGUUACCUGGACAAUUACUGACACUCAGGCACGAAAGCAUGGGGAGCAAAAGGG